rnacentral:rRNA from 1 species
UACGAAGGGGGCUAGCGUUGUUCGGAAUCACUGGGCGUAAAGCGCACGUAGGCGGAUUUUUAAGUCAGGGGUGAAAUCCCGAGGCUCAACCUCGGAACUGCCUUUGAUACUGGAGAUCUUGAGUCCGGAAGAGGUAAGUGGAACUGCGAGUGUAGAGGUGAAAUUCGUAGAUAUUCGCAAGAACACCAGUGGCGAAGGCGGCUUACUGGGCCGGAACUGACGCUGAGGUGCGAAAGCGUGGGGAGCAAACAGG